ACAAUUUAAUGGAACCUCAUGUCGGCUUGUUUGAUUUUAGUAGAUCCACCAAGAUUUUGGCUGGGCAUGCAAAUGUGGCGCAUCCGGAGAGAGCAAGCAUUGCAAGCAUGUUGGGUUUAUACAUAGCAGGCAAAUGUAGAACUAAUGUGGUUCCCAUAGGGAAACUUCUUUUUUGGAGAAUUCACAUGGUGAAGCUAGCUUCAUGGCCAAAAAGAGAAUGAGGUUGGACAUCUAUUGUUGAAAUGCUUGACUCUUUAUCCAGAAGACAACAUUGAGAA
rnacentral:lncRNA from 1 species